rnacentral:rRNA from 1 species
AGUGAACGCUGGCGGUAGGCCUAACACAUGCAAGUCGAACGGCAGCACAAUAAGAGCUUGCUCUUACGGGUGGCGAGUGGCGGACGGGUGAGGAAUACAUCGUAAUCUACUUUUUCGGGGGGGUUAACGUAGGGAAACUUACGCUAAUACCGCAUACGCCCUACGGGUGAAAGCAGGGGAUCUUCGGACCUUGCGCGAUUGAAUGAGCCGAUGUCGGAUUAGCUAGUUGGCGGGGUAAGGGCCCACCAAGGCGACGGUCCGUAGCUGGUCUGGGAGGAUGAUCGGCCACACUGGAACUGAAACACGGUCCAGGCUCCUACGGGAGGCAGCAGUAGGGAAUAUUGGACAAUGGGCGGAAGCCUGAUCCAGCCAUACCGCGUGGGUGAAGAAGGCCUUCGGGUUGUAAAGCCCUUUUGUUGGGAAAGAAAAGCAGCAGGUUAAUACCCCGCUGUUCUGACGGUACCCAAAGAAUAAGCACCGGCUAACUUCGUG